AGUGAACGCUGGCGGUAGGCCUAACACAUGCAAGUCGAACGGCAGCACAGUAAGAGCUUCCUCUUACGGGUGGCGAGUGGCGGACGGGUGAGGAAUACAUCGGAAUCUACUUUUUCGUGGGGGAUAACGUAGGGAAACUUACGCUAAUACCGCAUACGACCUACGGGUGAAAGCAGGGGAUCUUCGGACCUUGCGCGAUUGAAAGAGCCGAUGUCGGAUUAGCUAGUUGGCGGGGUAAAGGCCCACCAAGGCGACGAUCCGUAGCUGGUCUGAGAGGAUGAUCAGCCACACUGGAACUGAGACACGGUCCAGACUCCUACGGGAGGCAGCAGUGGGGAAUAUUGGACAAUGGGCGCAAGCCUGAUCCAGCCAUACCGCGUGGGUGAAGAAGGCCUUCGGGUUGUAAAGCCCUUUUGUUGGGAAAGAAAAGCAGCAGGUUAAUACCCCGCUGUUCUGACGGUACCCAAAGAAUAAGCACCGGCUAACUUCGUG
rnacentral:rRNA from 1 species